AGAUUCUCUUAGGAUGGGGUCCUAGCUCAGUGGAAAGUCAUUAGCUUAAUCUCUCAACAGUGCACACACAGCUAAAGACCUAAGAUAACGCCCGUUGUCGAUGUACCGAACACUAGCAAUCAAUUAAGUUUAGAUGAGGAAGACCUGAGUACUGUAUUCUUUCAGAUUUUUUCCUACACAUUAGACAUUUUUAAGAAUUAAGAAGUUACCAUGGAUGACUGAGAUGGUCAGUGGGUAGAGGGGCUUGCUGCCAAGCCUGAUAAACUAAGUUCAAUCCCAGGACCUGCUCAUGGUGGGAGGGAAGAAUUGACUUUUGCAAGUUGUCUUCUGGCUUCUACAUAUGUGCUGGGGCAUGAGAGGUGCAUGCAUGUGUACACACCUGUACACAUACAAAAGAAAUGUUUUUUAAAAAUUACAGAUGGGAAGGAAAAGAAAAAAUUGUUUUUAAUUUUUAAAAUUAUUUGUGUUUUGCCUGAACGUAUGUCUGUGUAACACACAUGUGCCUGGUAUCCACAGGCACCAAGGGGGUGCAGGGUCCCCGGGAACUAGAGUUUCAGGCAGUUGUGAGCCCUCAUGUAGGUGUCUAGAAUCAAAUUCACAGCCUCUGUAAACACAGCCAGGGCUCUUAAUCACUGAGCCAUCUCUCUAGCCCCCAAAAGCAAAAUUUUAAGCACAAAAUUUUGAUAGAGACAAAGGAUGGGAAUGUGUAGAAACACUAAGAACCUCAUGAGGUUUCACUUUCACUUUUUAUUUAUUUGUAUGUUUGUGUGUUUGUAUGAAUGUAUGGGAAACCACUUUUCUGCAAGAGGGCUGGGAAGCAAGAAGAGGACCUUGGGUCUCCUGGAGCUGGAGUUAUGGAUAGCUAUGAGCUGCGUUGUGUAAGUACUGUGAACUGAAUCCCAGUCCUUUGCAAGAGUAAUAAGUAAGUCUUAACUGUCAAGCUAUUUCUCCAGCCCACAUGUGUGAUUUUAAAGAUGUCAAUAAUAUUAUAUUCACUAAGUUGAAUGACUGAUAAAUGUACAUUUUACUAUUAUUACCUGCUGGCUUAAAUAAAAAUAUUACUAUA
rnacentral:lncRNA from 1 species